rnacentral:rRNA from 1 species
CCUACGGGAGGCAGCAGUGAGGAAUAUUGGUCAAUGGCCGUAACUCUGAACCAGCCAAGUAGCGUGAAGGAAGACUGCCCUAUGGGUUGUAAACCUCUUUUAUGCGGGGAUAAACGUGUCCACGUGUGGCUGUUUGCAGGUACCGCAUGAAUAAGGACCGACUAAUUCCGUGCCAGCAGCCGCGGUAAUACGGAAGGUCCGGGCGUUAUCCGGAUUUAUUGGGUUUAAAGGGAGCGUAGGCCGGUCCUUAAGCGUGCCGUGAAAUUUUGGGGCUCAACCAUGGGAGUGCGGCGCGAACUGGAGAGCUUGAGUGCGCGGAAGGUAGGCGGAAUUCGUGGUGUAGCGGUGAAAUGCUUAGAUAUCACGAAGAACCCCGAUUGCGAAGGCAGCCUGCCGCAGCGUUACUGACGCUGAAGCUCGAAGGUGCGGGUAUCGAACAGGAUUAGAUACCCUAGUAGUC